AACGAACGCUGGCGGCGCGCCUAAUACAUACAAGUCGAGCGAGAAGGUGUAGCAAUACACUUGUAAAGCGGCGAACGGGUGAGGAAUGCAUGGGUAACCUACCCUCGAGUGGGGAAUAACUAGCCGAAAGGUUAGCUAAUACCGCAUACGUUUCCGGAACUUCGGUUUCGGAAAGAAAGCAAUACCGUGGGUAUUGCGCUCCUGGAUGGGCUCAUGUCCUAUCAGCUUGUUGGUGAGGUAACGGCUCACCAAGGCUUCGACGGGUAGCUGGUCUGAGAGGACGAUCAGCCACACUGGCACUGCGACACGGGCCAGACUCCUACGGGAGGCAGCAGUAAGGAAUAUUGCGCAAUGGACGAAAGUCUGACGCAGCGACGCCGCGUGGGGGGAUGAAGGUCUUCGGAUUGUAAACCCCUUUCGGGAGGGAAGAUGGAGUGGGUAACCACUUGGACGGUACCUCCAGAAGCAGCCACGGCUAACUUCGUGCCAGCAGCCGCGGUAAU
rnacentral:rRNA from 1 species